rnacentral:rRNA from 1 species
GACGAACGCUGGCGGCGUGCUUAACACAUGCAAGUCGAACGGAAAGGCCCUGCCUUUGUGGGGUGCUCGAGUGGCGAACGGGUGAGUAACACGUGAGUAACCUGCCCUUGACUUUGGGAUAACUUCAGGAAACUGGGGCUAAUACCGGAUAGGAGCUCCUGCUGCAUGGUGGGGGUUGGAAAGUUUCGGCGGUUGGGGAUGGACUCGCGGCUUAUCAGCUUGUUGGUGGGGUAGUGGCUUACCAAGGCUUUGACGGGUAGCCGGCCUGAGAGGGUGACCGGCCACAUUGGGACUGAGAUACGGCCCAGACUCCUACGGGAGGCAGCAGUGGGGAAUAUUGCACAAUGGGCGGAAGCCUGAUGCAGCAACGCCGCGUGCGGGAUGACGGCCUUCGGGUUGUAAACCGCUUUCGCCUGUGACGAAGCGUGAGUGGCGGUAAUGGGUAAAGAAGCACCGGCUAACUACGUG